AAAACCGCUUCUCGUACUAUCACCAAUGUUAAACAACGUUGGGCCUGGUCAGUACUUAGAUGGGUGACCGCUUGGCAAUAUCAGGUGAUGG